rnacentral:rRNA from 1 species
AGGGAAGGUGGGGAGUGACGUCAAGUCCUCAUGGCCCUUACAGGCUGGGCUACGACACGUGCUACAAUGGCAUCUACAGUGGGCAGCAUUCCGCAAGGAUGCGCUAAUCUCCAAAAGAUGUCUCAGUUCGGAUUGUCCUCUGCAACUCGAGGGCAUGAAGGCGGAAUCGCUAGUAAUCGCGGAUCAGCAUGCCGCGGUGAAUACGUUCCCAGGCCUU